AUUGAACGCUGGCGGCAUGCUUUACACAUGCAAGUCGAGCGGCAGCGCGGGGGCAACCCUGGCGGCGAGCGGCGAACGGGUGAGUAAUGCAUCGGAACGUCCCCUCCAGUGGGGGAUAACCCAGCGAGAGUUGGGCUAAUACCGCAUGAGCUCUGAGGAGGAAAGCGGGGGAGCUGCGAGGGCCUUGCGCUGGAGGAGCGGCCGAGGGGCGAUUAGCUCGUUGGUGGGGUAAAGGCGUACAAGGGCGACGAUGGGUAUCUGAUCUGCGAGGAUGAUCAGCCACACGGGGAGUGGGACAGGGCCAAGACGCCUACGGGAGGCCGCAGUGGGCAAUUUGGGGCAACGGUGGCGACCAUGAUCCAGCGAGGGGGCGUGAGUGAAGGAAACCUUCGGGUUGGAAAGCCCGCUCGGAGGGAGCGAAAUGGGCGGGACUAAUACGCCUAGCGGAUGACGGUACCGUAUGAAGAAGCACCGGCUAACUACGUG
rnacentral:rRNA from 1 species